GGACCCGCACAAGCAGUGGAGCAUGUGGUUUAAUUCGAAGAUACGCGCAGAACCUUACCAACACUUGACAUGUUCGUCGCGAGCCUAAGAGAUUAGGCUUUUCAGUUUGGCUGGACGAAACACAGGUGCUGCAUGGCUGUCGUCAGCUCGUGUCGUGAGAUGUUGGGUUAAGUCCCGCAACGAGCGCAACCCUCACUUUUAGUUGCCAUCAUUAAGUUGGGCACUCUGAAAGAACUGCCAGUGAUAAGCUGGAGGAAGGUGGGGAUGACGUCAAGUCCUCAUGGCCCUUACGUGUUGGGCUACACACGUGCUACAAUGGUAUCUACAACAGGAAGCAAGACGGCGACGUUAAGCAAAUCCCAUAAACCGUGGCUCAGUUCAGAUCGUAGGCUGCAACUCGCCUACGUGAAGGCGGAAUCGCUAGUAAUCG
rnacentral:rRNA from 1 species